UAGCAGUAACAUACAAAAUAUAAAAAUGUUCAAUGUCGUUCAUUGGAUUUCUCAUUUCAAUAGGUACGAUUAAAAAUCUGAAUUUGGGGGAAAUAAAAUCAAAUGUCGACAACACUGUUGAUAAAACAAAAAUCAAUAAAAAUGGCGUAACGUAGAAAUCAAUAAAAUACGAAAACUUUUUAGCCAAUUUAAAUCACUGUUUCAUAUGUUUUUCUUAGAAAUUUAUCGUCUUUUUUUCUUAAAUUGAGUAUACUUGUUUUGUAUACACUCGUAUAAAGAAUCAGUGAGCGCUAAUAACCAUAACCGUGAUUGAGAAAUGUAUUCCUUGGUUUGGACUUGCAUUUUGCGUUUUCACGAAGAUCAAAGGAAAGGUGGACCACAUCUAGCGAAUGCCGAAGAUGCACCAAACAUCUUCUGGGGGUUCUGGGGACUUCUGGGGGUGUUCUUACUGUGAAGGCGAUAAGGGCAUGUAAAACAACCUCCAAGUGCAAGCUGCUGGAAAAACUACCUCAGGAGAGUGGCUGGACGAGAACGACUGGAUGGAAAAGGCUAAAGGGACUCUUAUACAUGCAUGCAGUAUCAUAACUAUAUAAGACUGCAAUUACGGAGGUGGAAAGCAUAGUUUUGUCAUCACAGAAAUAAGGAGUUGAUCAUCUGAAUUUGUGUCUACACUGGGAACACAGUGAAAUCCUGCACCUGAGGUGCUGUGUGAGAAGCAACAAAACUGAUAAAGAAACAUGUUGGAACUAUACCUGCAUUCCUAUGAACAAAUUGAG